UCUGAUAGGAUGAGAGGGAAAAAAACAGUUAUCUUCUCAUGGGGUGUGCAGUGUCUGGUCUUGGAGUUGCCUGUGAGCCCCUCCCUCGAGGGCAGGAAUUGAGUCAUUUAAGUAUAUGUUGGAAGGGCCCUUUUUAUCACAGUUAGCUGGGGGCCGGGUGGGAGUGUAGUAGGUGCAAUUAUGUUUUGCUCUUUUUUUCUGGGUAAUUUGUUAGGAGCUGUGGAGAAAGUCUGGGUGAAAGGGAUGGGCUUGAUUUGGUGACACGAUGUUUGAGUCAUUCCUGGCUUUCAAUUAUUCACGCCACCCAGGUCUCUCUUGGCCAGCGGAUAACAAGGAUUUAGUUCAUGAUGAGCAGCUGUCUGCGAGGUGGGUGAGUCAGGCAGGGGACAGGAGGGGAGCUUCAAAAGAAUGGAAAUGGAAUUUGCUUUGUUUCAGCAUUAUUUGGUGAUUGUCUUUGUCUUGUUGCCAAUUUGGAAAUGUAAUUGACACUCCAGGUCCUGAAUGGAUGUACUUAACAUCCUCAUCUCCCUGUAAGAUCUCAUUACCUGUAUGACUAAUGCUUCUUUACCUGGCCAAACGCGAAAUUAUUUAAGACAUCUCAUUUACUUUCUGUUCUCUGUGCUGUUUCACUGGGCUCCCUACCAUGUUUUCUGAGGGACCCAGAUCUGGCUGACUCUGGACAUGUGAAAGCUAAUCAGCAGACAUGCCUGUAUUCCUUUCUUCGCGCCUUCCUUCUGCUUUUCGCCCUUUACUUCUUUUCUUCCUUCUGUAGUGACUUUUGCUAAGUCUGGGAGCAGAGAGACUGAAGUUGGCAGGUUAGUGGACAACAAACAGGAACUUGGUCUCACGAGUUGAGAAGCACAUGGUAUUAUGAAGUCACAGAGGUGGAAGGGAGAUUUGGGCCUGGAUUCUACUUCCUCCCCGGUGCCGGUGCUGGGAGCCCUGUGCCCCAUCAUCAUUGGGGAUGGGGGUGUUCAUGAUCUCCUGAGGCCACUGUUUCAUGGAGGACAAGCCCACCUUAGAAUGAGUGGAGAGAAAGAGUUUUCUCCUUGCACUAGCCCCUCUUUGCUUCUGGACGGCUGCUCCCUAGAAUCAAGGCUUGUCACUCCCAACUGCUCAUCUUACGCCUCUUCUCUGGGCUUCCAUAUACUACUUCUGCCAUUUCCCCUGGUCCGCGGAAUGGAAGGAAACCAGAAAAGGAAGGAGAACAUGCAAGAGGAGAAGUGUCAAAUCUGAUACAUCACGACCAGGACCGAUUUCAAGGAGCUGACUGCCUGGGUUUUAUGGUUUCAAGUCUUAUAUUCAAGUCUUUUAUCCAUCCAUAAGAUUC